rnacentral:rRNA from 1 species
AGUAACGCGUGGGUAACCUGCCUCAUACAGGGGGAUAACAGUUAGAAAUGACUGCUAAUACCGCAUAAGCGCACGGGACUGCAUGGUCCAGUGUGAAAAACUCCGGUGGUAUGAGAUGGACCCGCGUCUGAUUAGCUAGUUGGUGAGGUAACGGCCCACCAAGGCGACGAUCAGUAGCCGACCUGAGAGGGUGACCGGCCACAUUGGGACUGAGACACGGCCCAA